GAAAAAAGAAGGAACUUUGGCUUUUACCUCCUAGGCACUGCAGUGGAUACGAAAAGUCUUUGUUAGAUUGUGGAAUAUCUCCAUUUGAUACAUGUGGCAGUACUCUUGAGGCAAGAGUUGAUUGCUACAACAGUUUGAAUGAAUUGAUCAGACUAGUUGAUGGAGCUACAAGCAACGAAGGUCGUGUAGAGGUGUUUAUCAACGGGACGUGGGGCACCGUUUGUGAUGAUGAGUGGGAUGAUAACGAAGCACUUGUUGUGUGCAGAAGUCUUGGCUAUUCAGGAGACUAUACUGCUCAGAAAAGUGCCUACUUUGGACAAGGAUCUGGAACUGUUUGGUUGGGAUGGGUAAGGUGUUGGGGGAGAGAGUCAUCCAUCUUCGAUUGUUCAUACCCAGGAAUCAGGAAAAAUUAUUGUGGUCGCUACCGGGAUGCUGGUGUUAGAUGCCGAUAGUUUGCUUACACAUAGUUUUAACUUUGUAAAUCUUCCGAACUGUUAUCAACCAUAAUUUUCAUUUAGUUGAUUUUUUCCACUGAUAAGUUAUGAAUAUUUUCAUGAUGCAAUUUCAGACCGAUGGCACUGUCAGAUAAAAACAAACUAUUUUAAUAAAUUCUAUAAU